UAGUUGGUGGAGUGAUUUGUCUGGUUAAUUCCGAUAACGAACGAGACCUCAGCCAUCUAAAUAGCCGUCGCUAGUCUAGCGCUCGCAAGAGUUCGGCUUCUUAGAGGGACCGCCCGCGGGAGCGGGAGGAAGUUUGAGGCGAUAACAGGUCAGUGAUGCCCUUAGAUGCUCUGGGCUGCACGCGCGCUACAAUGACGCACUCAGCGAGGGCCCGGC
rnacentral:rRNA from 1 species